UACGGAGGAUCCAAGCGUUAUCCGGAUUUAUUGGGUUUAAAGGGUGCGUAGGCGGUUCUUUAAGUCAGAGGUGAAAGACGGCAGCUUAACUGUCGCAGUGCCUUUGAUACUGAAGAACUUGAAUUAGGUUGAGGAAUGCGGAAUGAGACAAGUAGCGGUGAAAUGCAUAGAUAUGUCUCAGAACCCCGAUUGCGAAGGCAGCAUUCCAAGCCUUUAUUGACGCUGAUGCACGAAAGCGUGGGGAUCGAACAGG
rnacentral:rRNA from 1 species